UUUAAAUACCACUCAUAUGGCUUCACACUUUUUCACUUUAGUACCUUAUGGUUUAAAGUAUAUUAAUUUAGUACCAUAUAGUUUCGCACUUUUUCGCUUUAGUACCCUGUGGUUUAAAGUGCAUCAAUUUAGUGCCCUAUGGUUUCAUUUUUUUUUUUUCAUUGGCUCAUCUUUUAAUAUUUCGUUAAAUUAUAUAUAAAAAACUUCAGAUAUCUUAGCUAGGUUUAUUGAAUAUUUAUUUUAGUACCCUUUAAUUUUAACUUUGUCACUGAUUUUUUUUUCUUCGUUAAAUUAUAUACAAAAAACUUCAGAUACCCUACGAAAAAAAUUAGUGAAAUAGAUAAUAAAAAGAGAAAAAUGAAACCAUAAGAUACUAACUUGAUAAAUUUUAAACCACAGAAUACUAAAGUGAGAAAAUGCGAAACCACAUGGGCUAACUUAAUACACUUUAAACCACCGGGUACUAAAGAGAAAAAGUGUGAAACCACGUAGGCGUAUUUGAAGUUUAUUCUAAUUUCAUUAUAUAUAGGACUCAAAAUUUACUGUAGAAAGAAAAUUUUA
rnacentral:lncRNA from 1 species